rnacentral:rRNA from 1 species
GACUCAUGGGGGAACCCUGAUGCAGCGACGCCGCGUGAGCGAUGAAGCCCUUCGGGGUGUAAAGCUCUUUCGGCAGGGACGAUAAUGACGGUACCUGCAGAAGCAGCUGCGGCUAACUACGUGCCAGCAGCCGCGGUAAUACGUAGGCAGCGAGCGUUGUUCGGAGUUACUGGGCGUAAAGGGUGUGUAGGCGGUUCUCUAAGUUUGGUGUGAAAUCUCCCGGCUCAACCGGGAGGGUGCGCCGAAAACUGGGGGACUAGAGUGCGGGAUGGGAGAGUAGAAUUCCUGGUGUAGCGGUGAAAUGCGUAGAUAUCAGGAGGAAUACCGGUGGUGUAGACGGCUCUCUGGACCGCCACUGACGCUGAGACACGAAAGCGUGGGUAGCAAACAGGAUUAGAUACCCUGGUAGUCCACGCCCUAAACGAUGCAUAUUUGGUGUAGGUCAUUCAGUUGAUCUGUGCCGGAGCUAACGCGUUAAAUAUGCCGCCUGGGGAGUACAGUCGCAAGGCUGAAACUCAAAGGAAUUGACGGA